rnacentral:lncRNA from 1 species
AAGGGCUCUGCCCUCAGGAUACCAGAGUGGAGUCUCUGGCCGGGGUGAUCCGUCUCGCUCUAGGACGCACUGGCACUGCUUCCNUCUGACAGCAGGCGCCGUUAGCUCCCCAAGGAGAUCAGGGAGGCCGCAAGAAACAGCCNGCGGCCCCAGCAUUCUGCUCCACAGAGCCCCCCUUGGCCGGCCGCCNUGACCUCUGGAAGACCAGAGAGGGCGGCGAAUUCUGGCAGAGGCACGCGGGUUGCCUCAGAGGCAAAGCCGCCUUCGCNGUAGAGGCAGGAAAGCCGGAGUCACGCUCCGCCUGGCCAACAUCGCUCAGGGAUUGGAGUCCCCGGGGGAAUNGGAGCAGGACUUGGAGGGACAGGAAUUGGUGUAGGAGCAAAACCUCCCAAACCAGGUGGUCUUGGGGUUGGAACUGGAGCACUAGGUGGCCUCUACCCAGGCGGGGUCUACCCAGGUGCUGGUGCUGUCGGAGCCGCCGCUGCUUACAAAGCCGCAGCCAAAGCUGGUGAGACAAAGCUAGCAAGGCCCCGCUGACCGUGGAGGUCCAUCCUCUCGCGGUUCUCCUCGCUUCAGCUUUUUCCAGCCCUCGCCUGCUUUCCCCAGAACGUGG